ensembl:lncRNA
AUGGAGGGUGGCACGAAGCCCAGGGGGAGCAGAGCUCAUUUCCAUGCUCCCUAUGGGCUGCCUUCAUCCUGGGGAGUCCUAGAGUCCCCACAGAGGCUCAUGCUGGGCUGGGUGGCCGAUGUCCCCACAGGCAUGGCAGGACCCCAACGUCCCCAUUGGCAAAGCAGAACUCAGUGUCACCAUGGGAACAGCAGGACUCAGUCACUCACAGGCACAGAUGAAUCCCAUCAUCAGAGCAGGACCCCAGUGUCUCAAUGGGCACAGCAGAUCCCAGUGUCCCCAUCAGCACAGCAGGACCCCAGUGUCCCCGUCGGCACAGCAGUGCCCCUGUGUCCCCAUGGGCACAGCAGAUCCCAGUGUCCCCAUCAGCAGAGCAGGACCCCAAUGUCUCCAUUGCCACAGCAGGUCCCAAUGUCCCAUGGGUACAGCAGGAUCCCGAUGUCCCCACUUCGCUUGCAGCCACUCUGGGCGUGGGGACAAAGGCUGAAGGCGUGGUGGCAGCAGGGGGUCCAGCGGACGGAUGGUGGCCGUGUAUCCGUGGGGCCGGGCCCAGUCGGUCCCUCGCAGCCUUCAGUCACGCCGCCGGCCCUCUCGUGCCCUGUCCCUCCCCGUUGGCUCCCCGGCCUUCCUGCCCCGCUGCUCGCCCCGUGGCAGCCCCCAGUUCCUCCGGCCGCUCUCCUGCCGCUCGGCUCUGCCCGCUCUGCCCUUGCUGCCAUCCCUGCGCUGCUCAUCCUUCUCCCGCCGGCUCUCCUUCCCCUCACGGCGUCUCUUCUUGUGUUGCUGCUGCUCGGGCUCCCUGUGUGCCCGGGGGGCUCUGGGGGGCUUCUCCUCAGGGCUCCUAUCCUUGGGACGCGGCUCCCGACGGCCGCUCCUCUCUGCUGGGGCUGCGCGGCCCUCCUUGGGCCUCUCCUCCUUCCUUGGGCCACGCGGUCUCUCCUCCUUCUUCUCUUCCUCCUCCUCUUCCUCCUCCUCCUCCUCCUCCUCUUCCUCCUCCUUCUUUUCUUUCUUCUCUUCCUUCUUCUCUUCCUUCUUCUCCUCCUUCUUCUCUUUCUUCUCUUCCUUCUUCUCCUCCUUCUUCUCUUUCUUCUCUUCCUUAUCCUCCUUCUUCUCUUCCUCCUUCUCCUCCUUUCUCUCCUCCUUCUUCUCUGGGCCUCGAGUUUUCUCCUCCUUCUCCAGACCUCGGGUCUUCUCCUCUUUCUUCUCUGGGCCCCGUGGUUUCUCCUGGCCCUUCCUCAGCUCCACUUUGGCUGUUGGCUCCUCAGAUUUCUCUGUGGGCUCUUCCUCCUCUUCUCCAGGCUCUUCCUCCUCAUGCCCCGGCUCCGAGCGGCCAAACCACUUCUUGAAGAUCCAGGGCUCGGCCUGGGAGACAGCGGUGUCACACACCUCAUGCCCUCUCCAUCCCUCCCAAGGAGGACCACAGAACCAUUCCGGUUGGAAAAGACCUCUCAGAUCCCCAAACCUGACCCCUGCCCACACCCACCAUGCCCACUGACCAUGACCCCAGGUGCCACAUCUCCACAGUUCUUGUACACCUCCAGGGACCAUGAUCUCCUCUGCACCAGAGGAUGCUGUCCCCCCACCUUCAGCCCCAUACCAGGUUGCUGUCCGCUUCGUCAUCAUCGUCACCAUCAUCGUCACCAUCAUCAUCCUCCAGCAUGCUGCUCUCAGGCGGGACGGGCUGUGGAGCCACCACCUCUGGGACCUCCUCCUUGGGGAUGA